rnacentral:rRNA from 1 species
UUUGUUUGCGCAGGAUAGGUGGGAGGCGAUGAAAAUUUUCUUGCGGGAAGAUUGGAGCCGUUGGUGAGAUACCACUCUAACAAUGCUAGGAUUCUAACCCUACACCGUUAUCCGGUUAGGGGACAGUUUCAGGUGGUCAGUUUGACUGGGGCGGUCGCCUCCCAAAAGGUAACGGAGGCGUGCAAAGGUUUCCUCAGGCUGGUCGGAAAUCAGUCGUAGAGUGUAAAGGCAUAAGGAAGCUUGAUUGUGAGACCUACAAGUCGAACAAAGACGAAAGUCGGCCUUAGUGAUCCGACGGUUCCGAGUGGAAGGGCCGUCGCUCAACGGAUAAAAGUUACUCUAGGGAUAACAGGCUGAA